AAGCGCCCCAGCGGGCGCCCGGCCCCAGCCGAGCGGCCCCGAUCCGGGCGGGGAGGGAGGGGGGCAGGGAGGGAGGCCGCGGGAGGCCCGGGCGGCCCCACGGCAGCUCGUACCUCGGCAGUGCCGGCCCUGCGGGCAGCCGCGGCGGCGGCAGCCCCACAUCGGCGGCUCCUCGGCUCCGGCGGAGGACAGGACAGCCCAGCCCGGCCCGGCCCCGGGAGCCCGCCGGCAGCCCCUCGGCGCGGCGGAGGCGGGUCCUGGCGGCCGCAGCAGCGCCCCGCGGAGCUGCCCGCGGGUGUGGGCGUCCCGCGUGGGGCGGAGCGGAGCCGAGCGGCGGAGACCGGCCCGGGCAGCCCCCGCCCCGCCGGGCAGCGCCGCUCCCGGAGCCCGGCCCCGGGCAGCGGGCUCCGAGGCAGCCGCCGCUGCUAGCUCCCGCCUGGGACUUAAGCCAUUCGUUCACUUCCUACUCAGGGUUUAAUGUUUUGUUUGUUUUAAGUGAGUCAAAUUUUUAAAGAAUACGUCAAAUAAUUUAACAAGAGAGGAAGGUGGAGCAACUGUAGCCAUUUUGCAGACCUGGGUGUGAAUGCAGCCAGCCUGGUAGAAGAUAGGGAUCAACAAUCUCCAGGGGAAAGGGUGUUUUAUCAGCAGCAAGCACGUAGCCAAGCUCAGGAGCAGCUAUGUGGCUGCUCCGCAGAGUGGACAAGCAGGAGCCACAGUUGACCCCACUACAAUGCCACUGGGUCCGAGCAGUAACACACCCCACCAAUGCCCCCAGGCAAGCUUCUGUGCUUCUACUACAAUCCCAACUUUAAGAGGGACCAUCCCCAGCUGUUGGCAAGGUGCAAACCAAGAGUGGGAUGCAAAAGGAGAGCCCCAGCUGCAUCACACCUGGAUGAGGAGUUAGAAGAAAGAUGCCUCCCAGGAAGCUGCCACGGUUUUCAGCCUGAGCAGGGAACUGCUGCUGGGGUGCAGAAGGAGGCGUUUGCACCAGCUCCACCACAGGACACGCCAGUGUCUCCCCUCUCAGAGGUCUCCACCAACAAAGUGCCGAGCUGAGGCACCUCCUGGCCUUGGCAGCACCCAAACCCCUUCCCAGGCAGCUGCCCCCCCACUUCCUGACCCUGCUGGAGCAGCAGGCAGGGAGAGCUUCUGGGCCACCCCAUCCCUGGCACCACCACCCAGCAGCCAGGCCCCAGCUGGCCUCCAGCAUGCUGCUCUGGCAGCGCACCAGGCUGCACCUCCCACACCACAACUGCCACCUUUGGCACCAGGGCUGGGCUUUCCCACCUCCCCCCCUCAUGCAGCCUGGUGCAGCAGCUGGGCUGGUCCCCGGGCUGGCCUCUUGUCCCGCUGCAACCCCUGACUGGCAAUGUCGAUGCUGGCAGCAGCCCUUGCCAUGGCCACACCAACGCUAUACCACAGCCAAAGCCCCACAGCCCCACAUUGUCCCACCUCCACCACCAACACUGUGGCUGCAGGUGAUGGGGCUGGACCCAGCGUGGCACACUCAAGAGAGGAGAUACUUGGUACCAAGUUAUUGGAGACUAUUAGCGUUAAAAAUAGAGGCUGACAGAGUUAGUAACGAAUAGUCUAAUAGAGUUGGAAAUAGAUAGAGUCCAAUAGAGUUACUAAUAAAUAGUCUAUUAGUUUUGGUAAUCUAUAGACCCUAAUAGCGUUGGUUGGUAAUAAGCUGUUUGGACAAUAAACCUUUUUCCAGUUGUAUGGUC